GAUGAACGCUAGCGGCAGGCUUAAUACAUGCAAGUCGAGGGACAGCACAGGUAGCAAUACUGGGUGGUAACCGGCAAACGGGUGCGGAACACGUACACAACCUUCCUUUAAGUGGGGGAUAGCCCAGAGAAAUUUGGAUUAAUACCCCGUAAUAUAGUUGAAUGGCAUCAUUUGAUUAUUAUAGCUACGGCGCUUAAUGCUGGGUGUGCGGCUGAUUAGAUAGUUGGCGGGGUAACGGCCCACCAAGUCUACGAUCAGUAGCUGAUGUGAGAGCAUGGUCAGCCACACGGGCACUGAGACACGGGCCCGACUCCUACGGGAGGCAGCAGUGGGGAAUUUUGGACAAUGGGCGCAAGCCUGAUCCAGCAAUGCUGCGUGCAGGAUGAAGGCCUUCGGGUUGUAAACUGCUUUUGUACGGAGCGAAAAGGCUCUCUCUAAUACGGGGGGCUCAUGACGGUACCGUAAGAAUAAGCACCGGCUAACUACGUGCCAGCCGCCGCGGUAAGAC
rnacentral:rRNA from 1 species